AGGACGAACGCUGGCGGCGUGCUUAACACAUGCAAGUCGAGCGGAAAGGCCCUUCGGGGUACUCGAGCGGCGAACGGGUGAGUAACACGUGAGUAAUCUGCCCCUAGCUCUGGGAUAGCUCCGGGAAACCGGGAUUAAUACCAGAUACGACCACUUUAGACAUCUGCUGUGGUGGAAAGAAUUUCGGCUAGGGAUGAGCUCGCGGCCUAUCAGCUUGUUGGUGAGGUAACGGCUCACCAAGGCGACGACGGGUAGCCGGCCUGAGAGGGCGACCGGCCACACUGGGACUGAGACACGGCCCAGACUCCUACGGGAGGCAGCAGUGGGGAAUAUUGCGCAAUGGGCGAAAGCCUGACGCAGCGACGCCGCGUGGGGAUGAAGGCCUUCGGUUGUAACCCGUUUCAGCAGGGACGAAGCGAAGUGACGGUACCUGCAGAAGAAGCGCCGGCUAACUACGUGCCAGCAGCCGC
rnacentral:rRNA from 1 species